GGGACCUGGCCCGACGUGCAUUAGCUAGUUGGUAAGGUAAACGGCUUACCAAGGCGAUGAUGCAUAGCCGAGUUGAGAGACUGAUCGGCCACAUUGGGACUGAGACACGGCCCAAACUCCUACGGGAGGCAGCAGUAGGGAAUCUUCCACAAUGGACGCAAGUCUGAUGGAGCAACGCCGCGUGAGUGAAGAAGGUUUUCGGAUCGUAAAGCUCUGUUGUUGGUGAAGAAGGAUAGAGGUAGUAACUGGCCUUUAUUUGACGGUAAUCAACCAGAAAGUCACGGCUAACUACGUGCCAGCAGCCGCGGUAAAU
rnacentral:rRNA from 1 species